UACGUACCGUACGAACGUUAUUCGGAAUUACUGGGCUUAAAGGGUUUGUAGGCGGCCAUGUAAGUGGGGUGUGAAAUCCCUCGGCUCAACCGAGGAAUGGCGCCCCAUACUGCAUGGCUUGAGGGAGACAGGGGUAAGCGGAACUGAUGGUGGAGCGGUGAAAUGCGUUGAUAUCAUCUGGAAUACCGGAGGCGAAGGCGGCUCACUGGGUAUCUUCUGACGCUGAGGUACGAAAGCCAGGGGAGCGAACGGG
rnacentral:rRNA from 1 species